rnacentral:rRNA from 1 species
UACGAAGGGGGCUAGCGUUGUUCGGAAUCACUGGGCGUAAAGCGCACGUAGGCGGACUUUUAAGUCAGGGGUGAAAUCCCAAGGCUCAACCUUGGAACUGCCUUUGAUACUGGAAGUCUUGAGUGUGGAAGAGGUUGGUGGAACUGCGAGUGUAGAGGUGAAAUUCGUAGAUAUUCGCAAGAACACCAGUGGCGAAGGCGGCCAACUGGUCCACAACUGACGCUGAGGUGCGAAAGCGUGGGGAGCAAACAGG